rnacentral:lncRNA from 1 species
UUUAGAGAGAGAGAGGGAUAGUAAAAUAGUGAGAGAAGAAGAAAAAGAAAGGAAAAUAGUGAAGGAGAAAACAUUGAGGUUUCAGUAAGGAAUCUAGUAUUACUUUUGAUGUCCUAAAGAGUAUUUUUAGAUAAGCAAAUUUAAUAUGAUAGUUAUUUUGUCUAUUUUGCAUUACUCCAUAUUCAAAUGAGUCAAAUUGUCUAAUUUUUAAUUAUGUUGUGUGAUUUACUGACACUUUGUGAAUUUGUAUGUGAUAAUGUAAUAUGUAGCCUGU